GACGAACGCUGGCGGCGUGCUAACCCCUUCAAGUCGCACGGGAAGGCCCUGCUUUUGUGGGGUGCUCGAGUGGCGAACGGUAGAGUAAUACGUGAGUAACCUGCCCUUGACUUUGGGAUAACUUCUGGUAACUGGGGCUAAUACCGGAUAGGAGCUCCUGCUGCAUGGUGGGGGUUGGACAGUUUCGGCGGUUGGGGAUGGACUCGCGGCUUAUCAGCUCGUUGGUGGGGUAGUGGCUUACCAAGGCUUUGACGGGCAGCCGGCCUGAGAGGGUGACCGGCCACAUUGGGACGGAGGUACGGCGCAGAAUCCUACGGGAGGCAGCAGUAGGGAAUAUUGCACAAUGGGCGGAAGCCGGAUGCAGCAGCGCCGCGUGCUGGAUGAAGGACUUCGGGUUGUAAACCGCUUUCGCCUGUGACGAAGCGUGAGUGACGGUAAUGGGUAAAGAAGCACCGGCUAACUCCGUG
rnacentral:rRNA from 1 species